AUUGAACGCUGGCGGCAUGCUUUACACAUGCAAGUCGGACGGCAGCACGGAGGAGCUUGCUUCUUGGGUGGCGAGUGGCGAACGGGUGAGUAACGCAUCGGAACGUACCGAGUAAUGGGGGAUAACUGUCCGAAAGGACAGCUAAUACCGCAUACGCCCUGAGGGGGAAAGCGGGGGAUCUUAGGACCUCGCGUUAUUCGAGCGGCCGAUGUCUGAUUAGCUGGUUGGCGGGGUAAAGGCCCACCAAGGCGACGAUCAGUAGCGGGUCUGAGAGGAUGAUCCGCCACACUGGGACUGAGACACGGCCCAGACUCCUACGGGAGGCAGCAGUGGGGAAUUUUGGACAAUGGGCGCAAGCCUGAUCCAGCCAUGCCGCGUGUCUGAAGAAGGCCUUCGGGUUGUAAAGGACUUUUGUCAGGGAAGAAAAGGGGCAUGUUAAUACCGUGCUCUGAUGACGGUACCUGAAGAAUAAGCACCGGCUAACUACGUG
rnacentral:rRNA from 1 species